rnacentral:rRNA from 1 species
AGUGAACGCUGGCGGUAGGCCUAACACAUGCAAGUCGAACGGCAGCACAGUAAGAUCUUGCUCUUACGGGUGGCGAGUGGCGGACGGGUGAGGAGUACAUCGGAAUCUACUUUUUCGUGGGGGAUAACGUAGGGAAACUUACGCUAAUACCGCAUACGACCUACGGGUGAAAGCAGGGGAUCUUCGGACCUUGCGCGAUUGAAUGAGCCGAUGUCGGAUUAGCUAGUUGGCGGGGUAAAGGCCCACCAAGGCGACGAUCCGUAGCUGGUCUGAGAGGAUGAUCAGCCACACUGGAACUGAGACACGGUCCAGACUCCUACGGGAGGCAGCAGUGGGGAAUAUUGGACAAUGGGCGCAAGCCUGAUCCAGCCAUACCGCGUGGGUGAAGAAGGCCUUCGGGUUGUAAAGCCCUUUUGUUGGGAAAGAAAAGCAGCAGGUUAAUACCCCGCUGUUCUGACGGUACCCAAAGAAUAAGCACCGGCUAACUUCGUG